rnacentral:rRNA from 1 species
UCGAGAAUCUUCCGCAAUGGGCGAAAGCCUGACGGAGCGACGCCGCGUGGUGGAUGAAGUCCUUAGGGACGUAAACACCUUUUAUGAGGGAGAUGUUACCUCAUGAAUAAGGGGCUCCCAACUCUGUGCCAGCGGGAGCGGUAAUACAGAGGCCCCAAGCAUUAUCCGGAUUUACUGGGGUAAAGGGUGCGUAGGCGGUUAUAUUAGUCGGGUGUAAAUCCUGAGGCUCAACCUCAGGCUCGCAUUCGAAACGGUAUAACUAAAGGAGUCAGAGGCAAGCAGAACUCAUGGUGUAGGGGUGAAAUCCGUUGAUAUCAUGGGGAAUACCAAAUGCGAAGGCAGCUUGCUGGGACUUUCUUGACGCUGAGGCACGAAAGCGUGGGUAGCGAAUCGGAUUAGAUACCCCAGUAGU